rnacentral:rRNA from 1 species
GAUGAACGCUAGCGGGAGGCCUAACACAUGCAAGCCGAGCGGUAUUGUUUCUUCGGAAAUGAGAGAGCGGCGUACGGGUGCGUAACACGUGUGCAACCUGUCUUUAUCUGGGGGAUAGCCUUUCGAAAGGAAGAUUAAUACUCCAUAAUAUAUUGAACGGCAUCGUUUAAUAUUGAAAGCUCCGGCGGAUAGAGAUGGGCACGCGCAAGAUUAGCUAGUUGGUGAGGUAACGGCUCACCAAGGCGAUGAUCUUUAGGGGGCCUGAGAGGGUGAUCCCCCACACUGGUACUGAGACACGGACCAGACUCCUACGGGAGGCAGCAGUGAGGAAUAUUGGUCAAUGGGUGCAAGCCUGAACCAGCCAUCCCGCGUGAAGGACGACUGCCCUACGGGUUGUAAACUUCUUUUGUAUAGGGAUAAACCUACCCUCGAGAGGGUAGCUGAAGGUACUAUACGAAUAAGCACCGGCUAACUCCGUG